GAUGAACGCUAGCGGCAGGCUUAAUACAUGCAAGUCAAGGGGGUAGCAAUACAACCGGCGCACGGGUGAGUAACGCGUACACAACAUACCAUAUACUGGGGUAUAGCUUCGGGAAACUGAAGGUAAUCCCCCAUAAUAUUGCGGGAAGGCAUCUUUCUGCAAUUAAAGUUUCGACGGUAUAUGAUUGGUGUGCGUUUGAUUAGCUAGUUGGUAGGGUAACGGCCUACCAAGGCGACGAUCAAUAGCUGGCGUGAGAGCGCGACCAGCCACACUGGAACUGAGACACGGUCCAGACUCCUACGGGAGGCAGCAGUAGGGAAUAUUGGACAAUGGGCGAAAGCCUGAUCCAGCCAUGCCGCGUGAUAGAUGAAGG
rnacentral:rRNA from 1 species